AUCCCAUUUCUAGCCCUUACCCCUUCCCCUUACCCCUUCCCCUUGCCCCUCAAUACAGAGGGGUAAAACGUUCCCCUAAGAAAUGGGACGCCCCUCCAUUACGUGGCUUCAUCGUCGCUGACUGCUAUGUCAACAGAAGCCACGAGUAGGCAUGUUUCAGAUCAAGCAUACGUUGCGUUGCGUUGCCUCACAUAACAUAAUGAAUUAGUGGAUAAAAACGUAAGAAAUGCUGGCGUUAACUUCCCUAUGUGAUGCGACGCGUCACAUGGCUUUAAAAACUCGCUGGAUCUCCAUUGUAACUCUGUCCGUCUGCUUUUCUGUGCAUGUGCUCUUUCAAAUAAAUGCAGACAUAAGACACUCCCCUCAACAUAUCAAAACAGCCAUAGGAUAGGAUAGGAUAGGAUUUUAUUUGUUGUCAUUGCACAUACACACAGGUACACACAGGUGCACACAGGUGCAACGCCAAACCACUCCCCAGGGAAACAAAAGGCAUGCCAUAGGGAACAACGAAACCAACUUACUUAGGAACCAAUAUUUGGUGGAGUUCACAUAAAAAAAGGUAUGAACAAUGAUAAAAAAUAAAACAAAAUCAAAUUCAAUUUAGCUCGGCUACACACACACACACACACACACACACACACACACACACACACACACACACACACACACACACACACACACACACCAAAAUACUAAA